rnacentral:rRNA from 1 species
UCGAGCGGCAGCGCGAGUAGUUUACUACUUGGCGGCGAGCGGCGGACGGCUGAGUAACGCGUGGGAACGUGCCCCAAAGUGAGGAAUAACUGCCCGAAAGGGUAGCUAAUGCCGCAUAUGAUCUUCGGAUUAAAGGAUUUAUCCGCUUUGGGAGCGGCCCGCGUACGAUUAGAUAGUUGGUGAGGUAAUGGCUCACCAAGUCGACGAUCGUUAACUGGUUUGAGAGGAUGAUCAGUCAGACUGGAACUGAGACACGGUCCAGACUCCUACGGGAGGCAGCAGUAAGGAAUCUUCCACAAUGGGGGCAACCCUGAUGGAGCAACGCCGCGUGCAGGACGAAGGCCUUCGGGUCGUAAACUGCUUUUAUAAGUGAAGAAUAUGACGGUAACUUAUGAAUAAGGAUCGGCUAACUACGUGCCAGCAGCCGCGGUCAUACGUAGGAUCCGAGCGUUA